CCUGAUGACUAUAGCGAGUAGGUACCACCUGAUUCCAUUCCGAACUCAGAAGUGAAACUGCUCAGCGCCGAUGGUAGUGUGGGAGUUCCCAUGUGAGAGUAGGACAUUGUCAGGC
rnacentral:rRNA from 1 species